AAGAAAUAAUCUGAAACCUUUGUAUAAUGAGUGCAUCAGAAUUAGAAGAAAAGGUCAAAGCUAAGCGCUUCCGGGCAGCACCAACACAUCGUUGGAUCAGUGAGCAAACUAUAUAUAUAUAGAAGCCUUUUAGAGGAAGUGCGCGGAGAAAUAAAAGACCGCCCGGAGUCAUUUGAGAAGCCUAUUGCACAAAAAUUUUAUUCGAAAAUAUCUGCUAAGUGCCCUUUGCUCGCAAACAUUAAUUGGAAAGUGAUGAAAAGCAAAAUGCGCUAUUUAAAAGGAAUAUAUAUGGAGGCCGUGAAAUGGCGUAGUCAAACUGGAGCUGGAUUAAUUGAAAAUGGAGAAGAAGAAAGCGUCAAGGACUACAUUCAAAAUAUUUGUCCCUUCUUCGAAAUACUGGACGAGAUUUUUGGGCUCAGAAAGUGCGUGAACCCUACGGUUAUAAUUGAGAGUAUCAAUAUAGAAGUCCUCUAUGAAGAUAACGAGGAGGUUUUUUUAUUUGAUAAUGUUUAUGAUAUUUCAAAUAGUUGCUCGAGUUCACGUAUAUCAGCCACUAUACUAUAUAUACUCCUAUUCCGCCCGAUACUCCACAGCCAGACGUUCAUUUAUCACUGGAAUUAUCAUCGAACAAUGCAAGCAGCUUCAACGGCGACUCGGAGAUUGAGAAUUUAAAAAAAAGAAUGACAUCGAAACACAGCCUAAAGAAAAAGCAAAAUCCAAAUGCAAGCUCUGCCGGCGUAUUACAAGGAAUGCUUGAAGCAAAAUUGGACUUGGAGAAGCAAAAAUUUGACUGGAUGAAAGAAAAAGAAAAACAGGAAUUGGAGAUGAAAAAGCUAGAAAUUGAACGUGAUGAACGACUUGCUUUGGCGAAAAUGAAAUUAGAAAAUGAAAGAGAAGAAAAACUCAAAAUGUACGAACUAGAGUUAAAAUAUAAAAAAGCAUAAGAACUUUUUAAU
rnacentral:lncRNA from 1 species